GCCAAUGUGGUGUAAUGGUUUGAGUGUUGGACUGCAACUCUGGAGACCAGGGUUCAAUUCUCAGCUGAGUCA